ACCAGGAGGCUAAGGCCCCU
rnacentral:miRNA from 1 species